rnacentral:lncRNA from 1 species
AAUUUUAAGGACAGCUUCAUCUUCUCUUUAACGAAUCUGAUCGGUAAAUUCAAGGAGGAAACUUUUGUAUUGCUUCUUCCAGGUACAGCAAGGAAGAGAAGAAAAGAUGAACACCUGCCCUAAACAAUAAAGCAGCACAAGCAUAAGCUAUGUACGGUGCAGUAAACAAAACAGAGACGUAAUACAUUCAAGUAAGAGCCAACAGGAUUCAACACAAAAGAAAGUAUUGUCAAUUUUUCUAGUGGAUAAAAGUUGAUAUGUCAAAAGGCUGAUGAAACUACAUACUGGUCAGGAAUGAACAAAGAGAAUAUACAUGCUACUGGCCCUGCUCUGAGUCAAUGGAUAGCUUUCUAGUGAGGCAUUAAGAAUUAUCUGGAAAGGCCAAGAGGAUGAUAGCCUAAAAAAUGACAGCAGGCUUGGCUUGUAUAACUGAAGCCCUUCAGUGAAAUUCUUUCAUGGUAGAUUGGCAAAGAACGUACGGAGUCAUUUUGAAGGGAUAUAUGGUAAUGGAUGAGAAGAAGCGAUCACUUCAGGCACUUAACGACUGAUGAAAGUGGGACAGUUUGCUUCAAAUGAUUCAGAAGCAUAAAUAGGACUAACAUAAUUGAAUGGGCUUUUCCCCUAUUCUGGGAGAAUGAGCAUCAAUUCCAUCUUUUUUGGAGGAAUUAAACAAAGGUGUGAACAACUGAAGAGAAGGAGCGUGGAGUCCUCUCCCAAGGAGAGCCUGAGUAGCCAGCAACAUGCAGGUGGAGAAAUCUUGAAUUCCACUUGCAGCCUGAAGCUAAAGCCCAGACAAACCACAGCCUGAAGACAGAAAAACACAGCUGAGUCCAGUCUAGAUCAGUUCUUUUCAGUAAUUGAUGGCGCUGCAUUUUCCAGUUUAUUAUCUUAGAAGUAACUGACCAUUUGGAAGAAGACCCUACUUAUUUUUUCUCUAGUUUUACUUGAUAGUCUGUGAUAGAUAAUUUACAACUUUUUAUCUGUCUAAAUUUUCAAUUCACUUUCCAACAAUUCCUUUUUUAAAAUUUCAGCCUUUC